ACCUGAUAUGACUUAGUGGCGGACGGGUGAGUAACACGUGAGCAACCUGCCUUUCAGAGGGGGAUAACGGCUGGAAACGGUCGCUAAUACCGCAUGAUGUGUUCGGAUGGCAUCAUCUGAACAUCAAAGAUUUAUCGCUGAAAGAUGGGCUCGCGUCUGAUUAGAUAGUUGGUGGGGUAACGGCCUACCAAGUCGACGAUCAGUAGCCGGACUGAGAGGUUGAACGGCCACAUUGGGACUGAGAUACGGCCCAGACUCCUACGGGAGGCAGCAGUGGGGAAUAUUGCACAAUGGGGGAAACCCUGAUGCAGCAACGCCGCGUGAAGGAUGACGGUUUUCGGAUUGUAAACUUCUUUUCUUAGUGACGAAGACAGUGACGGUAGCUAAGGAAUAAGCAUCGGCUAACUACGUGCCAGCAGCCGCGGUAAUACGUAGGAUGCAAGCGUUAUCCGGAUUUACUGGGUGUAAAGGGAGCGCAGGCGGGACUGCAAGUUGGAUGUGAAAUACCGUGGCUUAACCACGGAACUGCAUCCAAAACUGUAGUUCUUGAGUGAAGUAGAGGCAAGCGGAAUUCCGAGUGUAGCGGUGAAAUGCGUAGAUAUUCGGAGGAACACCAGUGGCGAAGGCGGCUUGCUGGGCUUUAACUGACGCUGAGGCUCGAAAGUGUGGGGAGCAAACAGGAUUAGAUACCCUGGUAGUCCACACUGUAAACGAUGAUAGCUAGGUGUGGGGGGUCUGACCCCUUCCGUGCCGGAGUUAACGCAAUAAGCUAUCCACCUGGGGAGUACGACCGCAAGGUUGAAACUCAAAGGAAUUGACGGGGGCCCGC
rnacentral:rRNA from 1 species